UGCAAUUACAUAUCUCAUAGAAUAUAUCAAAAUGUCAGUCAUUACAAUGUUGUUAUAAAGAAAAGUAUCAUAACUACAAUGUUUCUACACAGGAACAAGCAACUUAACGUAAAGUGAAGCAGACCAUGAAUCACUCAUGUAAUUACAGUACUAUGUAGUUACUGUAUUACAACAAUGGAAGACACCCAAUACAGUACUUGUAGUUGUGAUCAAUGGGAAUGAAUCUCAAUCUAGGAAAAACGUUGUUACAGCACCUUAAAGUGUAAUUAUAUUAAAUAUACCGCAGAGUAUGUCAAAAGUUAGGUUGUUACAAUGUCGUUAGAAAGAAAAGUAUUGUAAAUACAAUGCUUCUACACAGGAACAAGCAACUUAACAUAAAGGAAAACACAUUUGUUGCAACAUGUUUUUGAUUAUAGAAGGUGAAGUUUGGUAAUACACUUUGAGAGUUGGUGCGUAGCCUGUUGAUCAGACAUUUAUAUGUUUGGAAGCAAAGGAAUCCAGAGUCUCCCGUUUCAUGUGAUAUCAAACGUAUUUAUGUGGCGUGACCCAGAAAACACUGUUAGCAACAAACAUGCUUAAAACCCUGUCAAAAGAAUGAAACACAUUCACUUGCUGUGGGAUCGUAGUUCCAAAGGAAUCGUAUUGGUUGAUAUAAAUGAAAAGUUGAGAUUCUGUUGUUUUGAUCAAAAUAGAGCCUGCAGGGGUUGCGUGUAUUUAAAGGGCCAGUAUUGACCAUGAUUUAAAUUGACUGCAGCAAUGUAGCCGGCACCGGGUACUCCCGGCUCCAUUUCCUCUAGGGGAUGCAUGCUGAGAGUAAAAAUCUUACAGCUACUACACUAAUCGGAUGUCUUUGAAGAGUGGAGAGAACUCCUUUUUUAUUUUCUUCACCCAACCAGUACAUCCACUCAAUAAAAUGGAGAUACUUCUUUCAACUUUUUUUUGGUCCGAUUGCCCCUUAGCCUCCAGACCUGCCGCUUUAUUGUCUGGCACGCUCUUUCAAUGUGUUGUGUGGGACAUCCUGUGUGAGGAGUUGUCUGUGUGGCUGACUGUCUGGUGAUUGUAACCCAGCCUUAUUCAGAGACCUGGCAUACGCUCUCCAGCAGUCACUUAGAGUGGUGGAACUUCUUUGCAGAUGUCGUCUGAUGAGAGGGAUUAAGGUAGCCUGUGAACGGUUUUCCACCAUUUUAAGAACUGGGCGCCGUCUGUUGUGUUUGACCUCCAUCAUCCCAAACACCCAACUCUGUCUUCUCCAUGUUGGCACCAUCCUUCCACAAUUGUACUGAAAUAUAGGAACAAUUUGCAACAUGCCUUGAAAUUGAAGGGAUCAACAAAUCCAUAGGAACUACAGUAAUGUCACUUAUGACACAAGGGCUUUGUUGCAGACCUUCAAUAAUGAGAGGUAAGACAAAUAUUAGUGAUAUGAGAAGACUUGAGUGUCCCAGGGAUGCAUGACCAUCAACUUCUAUAGGAGGGACACUGAAAUCAAAUCUCACUUCAGGUCCCAAAUCGUCUUGAGCUGACACUGCUCCUGUCUCAUGUGGAAAUACACUUUAAUGGAUGUUCUCCGAAAAAUAACUGACUUUGAGUUUGUCUGUUUUUGCUAUUUGCACUGUAAUGCACUGUACAUAUUUGAAUAUUUGAUAAAACAUUCAACCUAUACUCAGUCAGCAAAACGGGGUUUUUAAAUGUCAAACAAAUUGAGUAAUCAAAGUAAUAACUGACAGAUUGAUUAUCAAAAUAGCUGUUAGUUGCAGCUCUAAAAACAGUACUCCAAACACAUUUGUAACAGCUUUUAUUUAAUUUGCCUGAAUAGUGUAGGCUCACAAGAAUAAUAAAUUAGGGCAGCAGCAGUGGUGCAUGCCUCCCCAGUCAGGCCAUGCUGCUCUUCCCGGCAUGCCACCAUGACAAGUAACCCAAAUGCCCGUGGGAAACACUGGUGGGGAUGGGUAGCAAAGCCAGCUAAUUGUUGUUGAAAAUCUUGGAGAGCCCCUUUUAGCUGUCCAGUAAAUAAUGCAUGAAAUAGUUUGUAAGUGAACAAAAAUGUCCUCAGAGUGAAUAUAGAUAAUAAUGUAAUUACUUAGUAGAGAGCCCCACACUCACCAGUGCCUUGUGUAUGGUUGUUAUGCUUCAUUUUAUUGGGGGCUGAAAGAGCAUGAAACUUUCUGUGGGUGAUAGCUAUUAUUAACAAACAAAGAGGUCUAAAUGAUGUUUUUUCUGACCUUUGCAGGUCUACCACUGGCCCAACUAUUUAAUCAUCAAUGAAGCAUGCCAUCCCAGUGGAAAAACAAAACAAAAAAUGUGUUAGGGAUUUUUGGAAGCCCUUUUGGGUAAUGCAGCCUCUGAUUGUGAACCACUUUCUAAAGAUGUAAUGAUCCCAAACAUUCUGUCAAAUUCAUUAACCAACCGAUGGUGGGAGGUGGGAGGAGCCAAAGGAGGACGGGUUCAUCGUAACGGCUGGAAUGGAAUUAAUGGAACGGUAACAAACACAUAGAAAUCACGUUUGACUCUGUUCCAUUUAUUCCAUUCCAGCCAUUACAAUGAGCCCGUCCUCCUAUAGCUCCUCCUACCAGCCUCCUCUGACAUUGACCCAUAUAUUAUUUCACCAGCCGGAACACAUUUUUUUUAUGUUGCUGUGACGAUGCAUUGAAGAGAAUAAUCAUAGCUUGCCAGCUCAAGAUUAAAGUUAGAUUCACUGUACAUUUACACCAUCAAACAUUUCUUACAGUACUCCUCAUUUAAAACGUUCCCAAAGUUCUCUAGGCCAAUCAAUAUCAGUUGUCAGUUGUAAUAUUAACUUAUAUUUCCAUCUUUGCAUGCAUGCUGUAUCAUUUUCAUUUUUGUGGCCACUGAUAGGACACCUCACAUAUUUCUUGAGCAGGCUUUUCUUCUGGAGGUUUUUGAUGUUUUCUGUUUUGUUUUUCUGCUGUUUUUUUGUCGACAAUACAUCACUUAGUUCAAUAAAAAAUCCUUGUGUCGGGUAAAAAACAGUGUUGGAUUUGGAUGUGCACUUUAAGAGUUUAAAUUUGUUUUUAGCUGGAAAUUGUUGAAAUUGUUGUGAAUUACCCAUGUGCAGGAAAUUGAAGUAAUGUUAAUCAGUAAAAAAAAGACAUGUUGAACGACAUCGAGGACAAAAGUGCAGUGACAGUCAACGUUGACCAAGGAAAACCAAGAUGAAUAAAUAGUAAGAUAUUAAUGUAGUUCAAAUUUAGAAUUGAUUUUGUCUUGAUAAUCGGUGGAUUUCAUGUGACAUGUUAGUGCAAAUGAUGCGCCUUUUGACCAUCUUGAUCCCAGCCUGUCGUUAGCAACAUAGUUAGCUAGCUAACAUUAGCUAAGGACUAAGUGACACAGCUGGAAUUUAGCUGGUUAACACAAACAGUAGCAAGCUACUUGUAUUUUGAGAAUUAUACUAUCUUCACUUGGUUAAUUAUCUAGCUAACAAUGUAAUACGCAUGUUAAUUAUCCAUUCUGACACCGACUGUAACUCCUUGCCAAGACUCUCAGUGAGCUCACUGGCUAUAGCUACUGAUUUGUAGAGUGUGCAAUCAUCCGCAUACAUAGUAAUUUUAGCUUUUUGUAAGACAAGUGGCAAAUAAUUUGUAAAAAUAUAGAACAGUAACGGACCAUGACAACUGCCCUGAUGGAUACCAUGCUGUACCUAUCGAUUGUUAUCUGAUUCUUCCAUUGAAGAAUACUCUCAGAGUUCUAUCGGACAAGUAACUCUCCAACCCUGUUAAGGCAGGUGAUGUAAAGCCAUAACAAGUGAGUUUUUUGUUCAAACACAAUCCUCUCCAUCAGUUUUCUAUGAACAGGCAGCAAACUGAUUGGGCGGUUGUUACAGCCAGCAAAGAUUUGUAAAAAAAAUGGAAUUGUAAUGUAAUGGAAUUGCUUUAGCUUCCUUCCAGGCCUGUCGACACACACACUCCUUUAGGCUUUGGUUAAAGACAUGGUAGAUAGAGGUGGCAAUGCAGUCUGCUAGCAUUCUCAAUAGUUUCCAUUCUAGCUUGUCUAAACCCGGUGGCUUAAUAAAAAGCCUGUGCUACCGCACACCCAACAAAAUUCAUAGAGUUGCUGACUAACGGUGAGUAAACUGUAGGCUAUAGAAAUAAAUAUAGAGCGUUGCAUACUCUAUAUACAAGCUCCCAGUAAUUUAUUGGGUACAUUACUAGAGAGUGUGACUAUUUUUAUACCUGGUGGCUCAUCAUUGGGGAUGGAUAACAACGUUUUUCCACGUCUUUCACACAUCCUUGAACAAAUUCAAAACAGCAACCCUUCUCUUUCAUUAUUAGAUCUCCAAUACACAAAUACAAUAUGAUGCCUCGCUGUUCAAUGUUGAAAUUUCACUUCUCAUUUUAUCUACUUUACCAGUCAAAUAGUCAUUGAAAUGAUUGGCUAUAUCUAAAGGUUGUGUUAUAAAUGACCCAUCAACUUCAAUGAAUGAUGGAUAUGAAUUGGGUUUUCUGCCAAUAAUAUAAUUUAAGGUGCUCCAAAGUCUUUUCCCAUUGUCAUUUGUCUUGUUUUGGUUUUAUAAUUUAUAUAUUAUUUGUUAAGUUUAGUCACAAAAUGUCUCAAUUGACAGUAUGUCAUCCAAUCAACUGAUUGUAUGUCUCAGCCUCCAGUAUUUAUGCUGCAGUAGUUUAUGUGUCAGGGGGCUGGGGUCAGUUUGUUAUAUCUGGAGUACUUCUCCUGUCCUAUUCGGUGUCCUGUGUGAAUCUAAAUGUGCGUUCUCUAAUUCUCUCCUUCUCUCUUUCUUUCUCUCUCUCGGAGGACCUGAGCCCCAGGACCAUGCCCCAGGACUACCUGACAUGAUGACUCCUUGCUGUCCCCAGUCCACCUGGCCAUGCUGCUGUUCCAGUUUCAACUGACCUGAGCCCUAGGACCAUGCCCCAGGACUACCUGACAUGAUGACUCCUUGCUGUCCCCAGUCCACCUGGCCAUGCUGCUGCUCCAGUUUCAACUUCCACCUGACUGUGCUGCUGCUCCAGUUUCAACUGUUCUGCCUUAUUAUUAUUCGACCAUGCUGGUCAUUUAUGAACAUUUGAACAUCUUGGCCAUGUUCUGUUAUAAUCUCCACCCGGCACAGCCAGAAGAGGACUGGCCACCCCACAUAGCCUGGUUCCUCUCUAGGUUUCUUCCUAGGUUUUGGCCUUUCUAGGGAGUUUUUCCUAGCCACCGUGCUUCUACACCUGCAUUGCUUGCUGUUUGGGGUUUUAGGCUGGGUUUCUGUACAGCACUGAGAUAUCAGCUGAUGUACGAAGGGCUAUAUAAAUACAUUGGAUUUGAUUUGAUUUGAGUAGCCUGACUUGUUCGCCACCUUUUUUGCAUAAUUUAUUUGAUUCGUAAAAUUGUUUAGUUCCGCAUUGACCCAGUGUGCUCUAACAGUUCUGACAGUUAGUUUCUUAACAGGUACAUGUUUGUAAACAACUGGCAAGAAUAAUUGUACAAAUACUCCAAGUAUUGCUUCUGGAUUCACCUCCUUAUACACAUCAGACCAACAUACAUUUUUCUUGAUAUAAAACAAUUCACUUUAGGCCCUACCUUUGCUACUUUGGCUUUCCUUGUUAAAAUGUAAAUGUAAAAUGUAAAUGUUAUUGUCACAAUGUUAUGGUCACUACAGCCAAUGGGAGCUGAUAAGUGGGUUUCACAAAUCCAACACUAUUGGUAUACAUUCUAGUUGGUUGAGUGAUAACCUGGGUCAUGUUACAGGCAGACAGGGCCGGCUCUAGCCUUUUGAGGGUGAGAUUUGGUUGGGGGGCCCCCCAAUUCGCAGCAAAACAUUUUAGUGGCCCCUCUCUUGACAACGGAGAGAACAUGUUUCGUUUUAAAGUUUAUUUCCUACAAUUCUACCCAUUUUGCCAUGAGGUGGAGAGACAUUUUUGCAGUUUUAAACGCCCACAAAGAUUCUAUGUUUUUUCAGUUGAAAGACGAUGCCCAUGAUGUUGCACAUUGAUUUACGUCAAUAAGUCAUCGUUUUAGUGAAAGUAUUAUAUAUUUGGUGUUGAAGUGGGAAAUCCAAAGUGUUAACUUUGCCCUAUGAUAUGACAUGCUAAUACUUUGCAGUCUACGUUUUCUUGUCAGGACUGGGUUUAAUUUGAAUGUUACCACCCACCAGCACUGCACUGUUUAUUAAUCAGAAACACCUGCAAAUGUAUUCCUCGGGACUGAACUGAGCAAUAUAAUAGAUCAUCUUUGGCUACAAACAGCUUUUCCCGUAGCAAUAAUGGGGGAAAACUUAUGUUUUUGCACCUCCACAUUUUAACAGACCACGCUGUAACGGCUUUCUUCCGUCGAAGGAGAGUCGGACCAAAAUGCAGCGUGGUUAGUUCGAUACAUAUUUAAUAAAGAAAAAACACGAACAAUACAAAAACAAGAAACGGAACGUGAAAACCUAUACAGCCUAUCUGGUGAAAUACAAACACACUGAGACAGGAACAAUCACCCACAAAACACACAGUAAAACCCAGGCUACCUAAAUAUGGUUCCCAAUCAGAGACAACGAGAAUCACCUGACUCUGAUUAAGAACCGCCUCAGGCAGUCAUAGCCUAUGCUAGACACCCCUACUCAGCCACAAUCCCAAUGCCUACUAAAACCCCAAUAAGACAACACCAUAAACCCAUGUCACACCCUGGCCUGACCAAAUAACUAAAGAAAACACAAAAUACUAAGACCAAGGCGUAACACACGCUCCAAUGCUUUGAUUGGUGCAGAACCCGUGAAAGAAAUUUCCACCAACUAGUUUGUCUAUAUUGUGCUGUUGUUCCAUGCAUUGGUUUUUCAUUUCAUGAUGCGCAUAGGAUGUUGACAUAUAUAAUGUGAACAUUGCAUCCUGAGCAAAGUUGUUGUAGCCUAUCAUUUCACUUCCUCUAGCUGUGAGAACCAUGGCAUGAGCACAGCCUGACUUGGCAUUGCUGUAGCGUAGCCAAAAAGCCUGCCAACAGCCUACCAAAGGUUGCACUGUGUCCAUUACAAUGUAGGAAAACUCAGCUCUAGUCCUAACCAAUAGUUAGGCUAUCCAUAUUGCCAAAGGAAACCUAGCAGUUAUGAGCGUUGGGCCAGUAACCAAAGGUCACUGGUUCAAAUCCUCGAGCAGACUUGGUGAAAAAUGUGUCCAUGUACCUUUGAGCAAGGCAGUUCACCUUAAUUGCUCCAGGGUCGCGAUCAAUAAUGGCUGAUCCCUGGCUCAGACCCCACUCUCCAAUUCACACAUGCACUUGUACAUAGGACAAAUGUAACCACCCAGCUGAUUAUUAUUUCUAUGGAGGAUUCACGGCCGCAAUUUAUGUAACAUACCAAAACUUUUGAGAUAACAAAAGACACGGGUUUCCCCUAUCCAUCAGCAGCAAAGUUUUGCCUAAAUGCUUAUGACAGAUCCAGAAUUGAAAUGAUCAUUUCCGCUAUGGGACAGGAAUUAUGCCAAAAUAGGGGUGGCAUUGCCUUCUGGUGGGGGCCUUUAAAGCUACAUUCCUACAAUUGUAAACAUUUUGCCUUGACAUGCCAUGUUAAUAUGAUAUUUGAGUCAGAUUGACAAAGAAAAUGAAUGAUGGGCCCCUUGAGGACAGGGCCCACGCCAGAGGCCCUGUCAGUAUUUCAGUGAUUACUACAGCAUUUCAAUCUAAAAAUGUACAUAGCAAAUUGUCAGCUAAUUGAGUGACCUACAUAACAAGAGAAAAACUGCUGAUGUACAACCAAAUUUCGAAAUUGAACCUGCUGUAUUUGACUAUUCUUACUCUUAAUAAUAAGUUGAGACCCCGACAUAUGCAGUUGCUUAUGUCGCUUAGGCCUGGAGCCGGCCCUGCAGGUAUUAGUCACCAUAAGAAGUUUGUAAGAAGCUUGAGAGGACACCUGGGACACCAAGAAAACACAUGUCUCUGUUAGCAUCAGAAACCUUAUAACAUCACACACAUAUUCUCCAGAUACUAACAGUUUGAACUUGGUGGCCUAAAGCAGCACCCUAAAAGAAGAGACUUCAGCUGAGGCAGGUGAACCUGCAACCACAGCACUUCUACUUCAUUUGUCAUGAGAUCCUCUCUGAGCUUUACAGGAAUAUUACUCUGAAUAUAUACAGCAACACCUCCCCCUAGACAUUCCUAUCUUUUCUAUAGAUGUUACAUCCUUGUAUUCCUACUGCUGUAUCAGCAAAGGUGCUGUCUAAGUGAGUCUCAGAAAUGGCUAAUAUAUAAAUAUGAUCUAAGAUUAGGAUAUUACUAAUCUCAUGAAUUUUGUUUCUGAGGCUUCAUAUAUUUAUAUGAGCUAACUUUAACCCUUUCCUGGGUAGCUUAUAUAGAACUGAGCUCAUAAUGAUAAUAGGUUGUAUUUCUAAUAAUUAUAUUUCUGAUAAUAACAAAGAAGGAUUUCAUGGAUAUUUGAGCAGAUUAUGUUCAGCCAAAGCCUUAUCUGGUUUAGCUCGGCUGCAGCAGGGUGCUCUAUUCUUCGUUCCACUUCUGCAUAGCUGUCUUGUUGGACUGUUGGUCUCUUUUGAUUGGGGUGUUGCCCUGUUAGCAUGGGGGGCAGUGGGGUGCUGUUCACUCUGGAAGGGGCCUGAGGUUGCAGGGUGGAGCUGGCCUCUCUUGAAGGGGCCUGGUGGUGUAAGGUCUAGCUGGCCUCUCUGGUAGGGGCCCGAUGGUGCAGGGUCGUGUUGGCUGUUCUGGAUGGCGCCCAAUGGUGUAAGGCGGAGCUUGCCUCUCUGAGUGGGGCCUCUUGGUGCAGGGUAGAGCUGUCCUCUCUAGAGGUGGCCGGUGGUGUAGGGUGAUACUGAUCUCUCUGGGUGGGGGCUGGUGGUCAUGAUCUUGCAGGAUGUAUGGCAGAGUUCCUCUUAUUUUGUUUUUUUCCAUUGUCCCAGAGCAGUUUCUCUCCGUUUCCUAGCAAACACCUUGACAACCUGUUGGUUCAAGUGUACUACGUCGUACAUCAGCUAUGUGAAUGGUGGUUCGCUAAGUAAACAUUGUCCAAGAGAGCACAGCAUCUACACAGCUCAGUGUUGUUUCUCUGAAUAAUGUGGAAGGGAAAAUCUCCACAUGGCAACAGAGUGGACAUAGUGAUUUUGGUGUUAGGAAAUCUCUCUGCAGCUCUCGCUGCCACUUGUUGCAUUGCAUGAGCUACAUGUCCUCUCAUUGCCAUCAAAUCAUUAGUACCUGUGUGAAUUAUAGUUUGGUCCCAUUUAAUUUGUUGCUUGACAGACUUUUCAAUGCACUUGCUGUUGUUGGGCACCAUGGCUUUCUGACUGACAUGCCAGGGAAUAGCAGUUUCUCUAACAGAUUUCCCAUUGGAGUCACAUAAAAUGAAGACCAUAGGGUGCUCUGCCUGUGUACUGCUCUUGUGUGCUGUGGUUUCUGGAGUGAUGUUCUUUGGAUAGAGUGGGGUGGGGUGGCCUUCCUGUCUUCCUCUCUCCCGAGGGUCCCAGCAGAGCACUAGUGUGAGUAUCUUGUGGAGGCUUGAUCUAUAUCUGACGAGGAGAAUGUGCUGCUGUGGGAGGAGGAGUUGUUCUGGUUCUGAUUACUUGUGCUGAGUCUGUGUUCCAGAGGUUCCCUAUGAGAAGCAGUGAUAUUGCCAAUGAGGUGAUGUGAGGGUGUGGUAGUGAGGGUUGUGGUAAGCUCCAGUUGUUUUCUUAGUGUGGGUUCUGGUGUCUCUGUGUUGUAACAAUUCUAUGACUGCUGACAACUCCCUUUGUAGCUCCUCCCUGAUGUCAGCUACCUCUCUCUUCAUGAUGCUCUCGACCGUUGCCUGUUUCUCUCCCAGCUCCUCCUUAUCCUGCCUCAGAACUGUCACCUUACCACCAAGCCCAUUCAUCAUCUACCUCCAGUAGGGAGAUACUCCCAAAGAACUGGGACAGCUAGGACAUGUUGUCUACUUGGAUGUUUUGGUUAGAUACUUUUAAAAUAAACAGAUUUCUCCCCAGGUCUGUCAUCUGAUUGAAGUAAAGCAGUUCAUUCUCUUUCAAGGUGUCUGCUAGCUCUUUACAUUUGACAUUUUAGUCAUUUAGCAGAUGCCCUUAUCUAGAGUGACUUACAGUUAGUACAUUCAUCUUCAGAUUGCUAGGACAACUACAUAUCACAGGCAUACUAAGUAUACUUUUCCUCAAUAACGUUGCUAUCAGCAAAGUCCGAGCUAGGGGGGGAAUUAAUUAAGAUAGUUUUUGAAGAGGUAGGGUUUCAGGUGCUUUCGGAAGAUGGGCAGGGACUCUGCUGUCCGAGCUUAAGGGGGAGGCUGUUUCCAAAAUAGGUGUGUCAGGACAGAAUGGACUGGGCUGAGCAGGAGCUGCCUUCCCGUAGGGGUGGGAAGGCCAAGAGACCAGAGGUGGCAAAAUGUAGGGCUCGGGUUGUGGUGUAGGGUUUGAGCAUAGCCUGAAGUAAGGGAGGGGCAGUUUCUCUCUCUUCUCAAUAACCGGGUGGUUCGAUCCCUGAAUGCUGAUUGACUGACAGCUGUGGUAUAUUAGACCUUAUACCACGGGCAUGACAAAACAUUCAUUUUCACUGCUCUAAUUACGUUGGUAACCAGUUUAUAAUAGCAAUAAGGCACCUCAGGGGUUUGUGGUAUUUGGCCAAUAUACCACGGUGAAGGGCUGUAUCCAGGCACUCCGAGUUGCAUCGUACGUAAGAACAGCCCUUAGCUGUGGUAUUUUGGCCUUAUACCACAAACCCCUGAGGUGCCUACAAGACCAUGGUGCUUGCCUACGGAGCUGUGAGGGGAACGGCACCUCAGUACCUCCAGGCUCUGAUCAGGCCCUACACCCAAACAAGGGCACUGCGUUCAUCCACCUCUGGCCUGCUCGCCUCCCUACCACUGAGGAAGUACAGUUCCCGCGCAGCCCAGUCAAAACUGUUCGCUGCUCUGGCCCCCCAAUGGUGGAACAAACUCCCUCACGACGCCAGGACAGCGGAGUCAAUCACCACCUUCCGGAGACACCUGAAGCCCCACCUCUUUCAGGAAUACCUAGGAUAGGAUAAAGUAAUCCUUCUCACCCCCCCUCCCCCCUUAAAAGAUUUAGAUGCACUAUUGUAAAGUGGCAGUUCCACUGGAUGUCUUAAGGUGAACGCACCAAUUUGUAAGUCGCUCUGGAUAAGAGCGUCUGCUAAAUGACUUAAAUGUAAAUGUAAAUGUAAUGUAAUGUAAAUGUGCCUUAUUGCUAUUAUAAUUGCUAUUAUAAACUGGUUACCAACAUAAUUAGAGCAGUGAAAAUGAAUGUUUUGUCAUACCCGUGGUAUAAGGUCUAAUAUACCACAGCUGUCAGUCAAUCAGCAUUCAGGGAUCGAACCACCCAGUUUAUAAUCAGCAAACAAUGACUCUGGAUUUUCCCUCAGCAGCUUUUGUUUGUGAUGCUGUUUAUAAUGUUCAGAGUUCUGUUCUGCUCGUAGAUCAUAUGGAAUGUGCCAAGCUCUUGCUACUGUUGCUAUUAAAUGUGUAAUUUACUGUAAUUAACACUGUACACAUCAAUUGCAAUGUCCAGAACAAUCUUGGGGUGGCAGGGUAGCCUAGUGGUUAGAGUGUUGGACUAGUAACCGGAAGGUUGCAAGUUCAAACCCCCGAGCUGACAAGGUACAAAUAUGUUAUUCUGCCCCUGAACAGGCAGUUAACCCACUGGUCCUAGGCCGUCAUUGAAAAUAAGAAUUUGUUCUUAACUGACUUGCCUGGUAAAAUAAAUUACCUUGCUUUUUUGUUUGUUA